rnacentral:rRNA from 1 species
AUCGGGGUGCGAGCAGAUCCAUANAUGAGGAACCUGCCCUUAACUCUGGGAUAAGCCUGGGAAACUGGGUCUAAUACCGGAUAGGAGCGUCCACUGCAUGGUGGGUGUUGGAAAGAUUUAUCGGUUUUGGAUGGACUCGCGGCCUAUCAGCUUGUUGGUGAGGUAAUGGCUCACCAAGGCGACGACGGGUAGCCGGCCUGAGAGGGUGACCGGCCACACUGGGACUGAGACACGGCCCAGACUCCUACGGGAGGCAGCAGUGGGGAAUAUUGCACAAUGGGCGAAAGCCUGAUGCAGCGACGCCGCGUGAGGGAUGACGGCCUUCGGGUUGUAAACCUCUUUCAGUAGGGAAGAAGCGAAAGUGACGGUACCUGCAGAAGAAGCACCGGCUAACUACGUGCCAGCAGCCGCGGUAAUACGUAGGGUGCGAGCGUUAUCCGGAAUUAUUGGGCGUAAAGAGCUCGUAGGCGGUUUGUCGCGUCUGUCGUGAAAGUCCGGGGCUUAACCCCGGAUCUGCGGUGGGUACGGGCAGACUAGAGUGCAGUAGGGGAGACUGGAAUUCCUGGUGUAGCGGUGGAAUGCGCAGAUAUCAGGAGGAACACCGAUGGCGAAGGCAGGUCUCUGGGCUGUAACUGACGCUGAGGAGCGAAAGCAUGGGGAGCGAACAGGAUUAGAUACCCUGGUAGUCCAUGCCGUAAACGUUGGGCACUAGGUGUGGGGACCAUUCCACGGUUUCCGCGCCGCAGCUAACGCAUUAAGUGCCCCGCCUGGGGAGUACGGCCGCAAGGCUAAAACUCAAAGGAAUUGACGGGGGCCCGCACAAGCGGCGGAGCAUGCGGAUUAAUUCGAUGCAACGCGAAGAACCUUACCAAGGCUUGACAUGUUCUCGAUCGCCGUAGAGAUACGGUUUCCCCUUUUGGGGCGGGUUCACAGGUGGGUGCAUGGNUUGUCGUCAGC